rnacentral:rRNA from 1 species
UACGGAGGGGGCUAGCGUUGUUCGGAAUUACUGGGCGUAAAGCGCACGUAGGCGGACCAUCAAGUUGGGGGUGAAAUCCCGGGGCUCAACCCCGGAACUGCCUCCAAAACUGCUGGUCUGGAGGUCGAGAGAGGUGAGUGGAAUUCCGAGUGUAGAGGUGAAAUUCGUAGAUAUUCGGAGGAACACCGGUGGCGAAGGCGGCAUCCUGGACCAAUUCUGACGCUGAGGAGCGAAAGCCAGGGGAGCAAACGGG